GACGUAGGGCGCGAGCGUUGUCCGGAUUUAUUGGGCGUAAAGAGCUCGUAGGCGGCUUGUCGCGUCAACUGUGAAAACCCGUGGCUCAACCAUGUGGUCUGCAGUCGAUACGGGCAGGCUAGAAUUCGGUAGGGGAGACGUGGAAUUCCGUGGUGUAGCGGUGAAAUGCGCAGAUAUCAGGAGGAACACCGGUGGCGAAGGCGGGUCUCUGGGCCGAUAUUGACGCUGAGGAGCGAAAGCGUGGGGAGCGAACAGG
rnacentral:rRNA from 1 species